rnacentral:rRNA from 1 species
UACAGAGGGUGCGAGCGUUAAUCGGAAUUACUGGGCGUAAAGCGCACGUAGUCGGCUUUGCAAGUCGGGUGUGAAAGCCCCGGGCUCAACCUGGGAACUGCAUUCGAGACUGCAUUACUCGAGUAUGGGAGAGGGCAGCGGAAUUUCCGGUGUAGCGGUGAAAUGCGUAGAUAUCGGAAGGAACAUCAGUGGCGAAAGCGGCUGCCUGGCCCAAUACUGACACUCAAGUGCGAAAGCGUGGGGAGCAAACAGG